UUUCCGUAGGUGAACCUGCGGAAGGAUCAUUCAUAAUAAAGUGUUUUAUGGCGCUUUUUAAAAAAUCCAUAUCCACCUUGUGUGCAAUGUUAGAUCUCGUCAAUCUUGGCGAGAUUUUUAUACAUCAACUCAUUCUUUAACUAAUUUGUCUGAAAAAUAUUAUGAAUACUUAAUUCAAAAUACAACUUUCAACAACGGAUCUCUUGGCUCUC
rnacentral:misc_RNA from 1 species